rnacentral:rRNA from 1 species
UACGUAGGGUGCGAGCGUUAAUCGGAAUUACUGGGCGUAAAGUGUGCGCAGGCGGUUUUGUAAGCCAGAUGUGAAAUCCCCGGGCUUAACCUGGGAAUGGCAUUUGGGACUGCAAGGCUCGAGUGCGGCAGAGGAGACUGGAAUUCCUGGUGUAGCAGUGAAAUGCGUAGAUAUCAGGAGGAACACCGAUGGCGAAGGCAGGUCUCUGGGCAACAACUGACGCUGAGGAGCGAAAGCGUGGGGAGCGAACAGG